UCUCGUUCUGCUCCGCUUCCCUUCCAAUAACCAGAACCCGUUGCCCUGCUGACUUGGUGGCCAGGGCAUGUGCAUCUGGCACUGGCGGUGCUGUCACGCCUGAUAAAAUUUGCGAUUUCUGCCGCAUGUUAAAACUCAUCCCGCCAGGUACCCGCUCCACCUCCCAGGUUCCACCCACGCGGGCCGAGAGACUGCCGUUCACCAGUGCCCUGAACUGACGGUACAGCCGCUCUCCAGGCUCCCCCUCCGUUACGUAUAGAUGGGACCAUUUCUUGUCACAGAGCGCGAGGAUAGAUAAGUCGACAAUGCAUGAUGGGAUGGCACGGGCUGGGCGGACGAGGGAGUCGUAAUUAAACCCUUGGUCGUAGCCUAGGAGAAUGAUACGGAUAUCCACACGAUUGAUGUCGGAUUUGUCUGGCAAGGAUGUAUCUCCAGAAAGCAACUCUUGCUGUCUUUGCUCGAUACAUUCUAAUAGCGAGUAGAUGAGCGCGUAAGUGUUCAACAGUAAGUCCUGGAUGGAGUGAAGGACAUUUUCUUCGCAUCCAGAGAAUGUGCGUUGGCCUUGUCCUAGGGUAUAGCCGGGGAAUGGAAGCGCAAUGUCGCAAGACGCCCGUGUGGAAGAGCGGGCUGCGAGGCGCUUGAGUCUUCGCAAGGCAGCG
rnacentral:sRNA from 1 species